CCUACGGGUGGCUGCAGUGAGGAAUAUUGGUCAAUGGGCGCAAGCCUGAACCAGCCAAGUCGCGUGAGGGAAUACGGCCCUACGGGUUGUAAACCUCUUUUGUCGGGGAGCAAGCCUGAGCACGGGUGCCCAGGCGGAGAGUACCUGGAGAAAAAGCAUCGGCUAACUCCGUGCCAGCAGCCGCGGUCAUACGGGGGAUGCGAGCGUUAUCCGGAUUUAUGGGGUUUACAGGGUGCGCAGGCGGGCUGUUAAUCAGGCGGUAAAAAUUCAGGGCUCAACCCUGUCGAGCCGUCGGAACUGGCAGUCUUUAGUGGGCGAGAAGUAUGCGGAAUGCGUGGUGUAGCGGUGAAAUGCAUAGAUAUCACGCAGAACGCCGAUUGCGAAGGCAGCAUACCGGCGCCCGACUGACGCUGAGGCACGAAAGCGUGGGGAUCGAACAGGAUUAGAUACCCCAGUAGUC
rnacentral:rRNA from 1 species